UAUUCCCCUGAACCCACUGGUCAGUCUCACCCCAGUCUUCCCUGCUCACCUCUGGAGACACCCUUCUGCGCUCAGCUCCGGGAGAUCAACCUCGCCAGCUUACACUUGGACUGAGAUCACACGGUGCCUGUCCCUCUGAGCCGGGCUGAGUUCUCCUGGCACAGUGAUCUCCAGGCCCAUCUUCUUGUACACGACAGGGUCGUCCUUCUGUGGCCGACUCGUGCUCCAUGGGGCACAUGCCCCGCCCCUUCUCUGUCCACCCUCAGCUGAUGGACACUAGACCUUCUGUGAGUAGAGCUGCGGUGACCCAGGGAGAGCCGGUGCCCCUCAGCACACUGACUCCUCUCCUCUGGACGUGGACCUGGCAGUGGGAUGGCUGGGUCAUGUGCUAGUUCUACUGUUGGUGUUCCAGGGAAUCUCCGUGUGGUUUUCCACGCUGGCUGUGCUGAUUUACACUCCCACAACAGUGCAAGGGCCCCUUUCCUCCCCCUGCUCGCCAGCGGUUAUAGGUAUAGUUCU
rnacentral:lncRNA from 1 species